rnacentral:rRNA from 1 species
GACGAACCGAGCGAACGUUAUUCGGAAUCACUGGGCGUAAAGGGUGCGUAGGCGGUUAUGUAAGACAGAUGUGAAAUGCCCGGGCUUAACCUGGGAACUGCAUUUGUGACUGCAUGGCUAGAGUUUGGCAGAGGGGGGUAGAAUUCCACGUGUAGCAGUGAAAUGCGUAGAUAUGUGGAGGAACACCGAUGGCGAAGGCAGCCCCCUGGGUCAAGACUGACGCUCAUGCACGAAAGCGUGGGGAGCAAACAGG